UUGCUCAUUUCAACAGCACAUAUAUGCUAAAAUUGGGGUGAUACAGAGAAGAUUAGCAUGGUCCCUGCACAAAGAUGACAAAACUUCAUGAAAUGUUCCAAAUUUGA
ensembl:snRNA U6 U6 spliceosomal RNA